CACGUAGGGCGCAAGCGUUGUCCGGAAUUAUUGGGCGUAAAGAGCUCGUAGGCGGUUUGUCACGUCGGAUGUGAAACCCUGAGGCUCAACCUCAGGCCUGCAUUCGAUACGGGCAGACUAGAGUUCGGUAGGGGAGACUGGAAUUCCUGGUGUAGCGGUGAAAUGCGCAGAUAUCAGGAGGAACACCGGUGGCGAAGGCGGGUCUCUGGGCCGAUACUGACGCUGAGGAGCGAAAGCGUGGGGAGCAAACAGG
rnacentral:rRNA from 1 species